rnacentral:rRNA from 1 species
UUGAACGCUGGCGGCAUGCCUUACACAUGCAAGUCGAACGGUAACGGGCCUUCGGGUGCCGACGAGUGGCGAACGGGUGAGUAAUACAUCGGAACGUGCCCGAUCGUGGGGGAUAACGAGGCGAAAGCUUUGCUAAUACCGCAUACGAUCUACGGAUGAAAGCAGGGGACCGCAAGGCCUUGCGCGGACGGAGCGGCCGAUGGCAGCUUAGGUAGUUGGUGGGAUAAAAGCUUACCAAGCCGACGAUCUGUAGCUGGUCUGAGAGGAUGAUCAGCCACACUGGGACUGAGACACGGCCCAGACUCCUACGGGAGGCAGCAGUGGGGAAUUUUGGACGAUGGGCGCAAGCCUGAUCCAGCCAUGCCGCGUGCAGGAUGAAGGCCUUCGGGUUGUAAACUGCUUUUGUACGGAACGAAAAGCCUUCUUUUAAUACAGGAGGGUCAUGACGGUACCGUAAGAAUAAGCACCGGCUAACUACGUG